AGCGAACGCUGGCGGCAGGCCUAACACAUGCAAGUCGAACGAUCCUUCGGGAUAGUGGCGGACGGGUGAGUAACACGUGGGAACGUGCCCUUUGGUUCGGAACAACUCAGGGAAACUUGAGCUAAUACCGGAUGUGCCCUUAGGGGGAAAGAUUUAUCGCCAUUGGAGCGGCCCGCGUUGGAUUAGGUAGUUGGUGGGGUAAUGGCCCACCAAGCCUACGAUCCAUAGCUGGUCUGAGAGGAUGAUCAGCCACACUGGGACUGAGACACGGCCCAGACUCCUACGGGAGGCAGCAGUGGGGAAUCUUGCGCAAUGGGCGAAAGCCUGACGCAGCCAUGCCGCGUGAAUGAUGAAGGUCUUAGGAUUGUAAAAUUCUUUCACCGGGGACGAUAAUGACGGUACCCGGAGAAGAAGCCCCGGCUAACUUCGUGCCAGCAGCCGCCGUAAUAC
rnacentral:rRNA from 1 species